CUGCUCUAUCCAGGUGACGCACACGGCUGGGAGUACAGUGCACUGAGAGAGCAGCGGCCAAGUCGCACAGUCCUCUCUACCCGGGAACCGCCACAGUGCAGAUGUCAGAGCCGGGGGCACCCGAAGAACCCCCUAACCCGAUUAUGUUGCCUUUGUUCCUCUCUAAGGAAUGAAAUCGGUUUACUGAAUGUUAAGCAGAAAUUUCAUGUUCAUUUUCUUUGUAUUUGUAAAUAAAAUGUUAAUUUGAUAAUUUCCCUCCAAAUUAAUUUUUGAAAUAAAAUACAUAUAUUUCUACGGAGA